rnacentral:rRNA from 2 species
UUUAAAAAUUUUUUUUUUCUGCUCAGGAUGAACGCUGGCGGCGUGCUAAUACAUGCAAGUCGAACGAGUUCUCGUUGAUGAUCGGUGCUUGCACCGAGAUUCAACAUGGAACGAGUGGCGGACGGGUGAGUAACACGUGGGUAACCUGCCCUUAAGUGGGGGAUAACAUUUGGAAACAGAUGCUAAUACCGCAUAGAUCCAAGAACCGCAUGGUUCUUGGCUGAAAGAUGGCGUAAGCUAUCGCUUUUGGAUGGACCCGCGGCGUAUUAGCUAGUUGGUGAGGUAAUGGCUCACCAAGGCGAUGAUACGUAGCCGAACUGAGAGGUUGAUCGGCCACAUUGGGACUGAGACACGGCCCAAACUCCUACGGGAGGCAGCAGUAGGGAAUCUUCCACAAUGGACGCAAGUCUGAUGGAGCAACGCCGCGUGAGUGAAGAAGGCUUUCGGGUCGUAAAACUCUGUUGUUGGAGAAGAAUGGUCGGCAGAGUAACUGUUGUCGGCGUGACGGUAUCCAACCAGAAAGCCACGGCUAACUACGUGCCAGCAGCCGCGGUAAUACGUAGGUGGCAAGCGUUAUCCGGAUUUAUUGGGCGUAAAGCGAGCGCAGGCGGUUUUUUAAGUCUGAUGUGAAAGCCCUCGGCUUAACCGAGGAAGCGCAUCGGAAACUGGGAAACUUGAGUGCAGAAGAGGACAGUGGAACUCCAUGUGUAGCGGUGAAAUGCGUAGAUAUAUGGAAGAACACCAGUGGCGAAGGCGGCUGUCUGGUCUGUAACUGACGCUGAGGCUCGAAAGCAUGGGUAGCGAACAGGAUUAGAUACCCUGGUAGUCCAUGCCGUAAACGAUGAAUGCUAGGUGUUGGAGGGUUUCCGCCCUUCAGUGCCGCAGCUAACGCAUUUAAGCAUCCGCCCUGG